UUGGAACACUGGUUCCCCUAUGAUCACUGAUGUUAAGCAAUGUUGAACCUAAUCAGUAUUUAGAUGGGUAACUGCUUGGGAAUACCAGUUGCUGUAAG